rnacentral:rRNA from 1 species
AGUGAACGCUGGCGGUAGGCCUAACACAUGCAAGUCGAACGGCAGCACAGAGGAGCUUGCUCCUUGGGUGGCGAGUGGCGGACGGGUGAGGAAUACAUCGGAAUCUACUCUGUCGUGGGGGAUAACGUAGGGAAACUUACGCUAAUACCGCAUACGACCUACGGGUGAAAGCAGGGGAUCUUCGGACCUUGCGCGAUUGAAUGAGCCGAUGUCGGAUUAGCUAGUUGG